UGCAAAAUUAUUUUAUUCUAAAUAAACGAUAUGAUAUGAUUAAAAUUAUAAUAUGAUUAAAAUUAGAAUCAAUGUGUUAUUGAUCAUUAAAAAAAAAAAAACCGAAAUUUUUCAGUUUUUCUUCCUGAUUACCGUUCCAAGGUGUACAGGUAUCCAAUAUAGUACGAUCGAUCACCGAUUAUAGCUCGGGAUAGGCAUGGUGUACAAUGUUGCACUCUAUUGGUUGGUUACAUAUCGCAACAUUAUACGUAUAUGCGGCCGGGGCAUCAAGUUGCAGGCUGCAAUGUGUAUACGCGUUUAAUUAAUUCGCCUGUACACGCGCCAUAUGAAUCUCAUUCCCGUAUAGUUCGAUGAAUUUCCCAAAUGAACUAUAGAUUAAGAUCAAGGAUGAUAUGGAUGAUGUAAUAACAACAAGUCAAUUUUGAACAAUUUUAAUUGGGACAAUUUAACAUGCAUUUAUGACCAAAAUCGAUUUCACUCACGUUAAUUAUCGAGGGAAUUAUCGAAUAAAUUAAACAUGGGAAACAACAACCAAAAGAAAAAACUUCUUAAAAAUUCUAUCAAAUUCCCGCAAUAGUCGCAAAAUGACAAUCUAAUUCUAUAAAUCUUAACCAUAUAUCGUAAUGCGGGUGGAGAACAUUAUCCACGAGCACAAAGCUGUACACACCAAGGAAACAAAUAAAGAAACAAGAGAGAAAAGAAAGAAAGAAUAAAGAACGGUUGGACAAGGCGCAUCGCGUACGCGCGCGUAGCUCGUGUCCGGUCAGCCGUUAAGAAGGAAGCUUCAGGCCGAUGUCGAAGAUAAGAGCGGGGACGUGUCCCUCUGUGCGUGGCAUUCUCGUGGACAGAGAAGUGGUACCGAAGUUCGGGGACCAAGUGUGCCAGGCCCUCACGUAAUCCACGGAUACGUCGCGACGAAUUUUGAACGGUCAUCCAGUAUGAAUUUUUGGAUUCAUGACUGACAAUAAGAAGGUAACGCGAGAGACUCGAAGGGCCAGAUGUGCAAGGAUUCAACAUCCUCGAGCCCAUUCAUGGCUCCCGUAGCAGAACACCUUACUCGAACCACGUCGACCUCCUGCACCACAGAAAUUCGAUACUGCUCGGAACCUCGGCCAGUGUAUAAUAUCUUGCUUAUAUAUUAUACUUAUAUAUAUAUAUAUAUAUAUUUAUUUUAUCUUGUUCUAAUUUCUAAUUCUAUCGAAUAGUUAAACAUGAACAAAGUUUACUUUAUAUCGAAUAUAUUAUUGAUAAUUUCAACUAAAUUCUCUGUAAUUUAUGUAUUCAUAGAUAUUGUUUGUGACAAUCUAAUCAAUUUAGAUUAUUAAGAAAAAUAUUGUUUCUUUAUUAUAUAUUUAUAUAUUUUAUAUAUUUGAAAAUUUAAUUUUCUUCUUAUUAAAAUAUCAAUAUUACAAUAUUACAAAUAUUACAAAAAUAAUGACUCUAAUGAUUAAUGAAAUUAUAAUUGUAAAUUAAUAUGUUGAAUGAUUAAUUUGAAAAAUUUCUUCAAUAUUAAUUUUGAAUUUUUUAUUUGUCAUUAUUUGAUUUAUUAUCAAAAGCUUUCAUAUCAUUUAAUAAUUCAUCAUAUGAUUCUUCCACUAUAUCACACAUUUCUGGACUUCUAUUUGAAAAAAAUAAGGUAAUAAUCUUUGAUCUAUAAUCAGUCCUUCAGCAUUUAUACUUACGUGUAUUUAGCAUGGUCAUAACAAAAUUUACAUCGUUCACCUGCUGCAAGUGCUAUUUUGUCUAAUCUAUGUUCCUUAAAUAAUUUUAAUUGAUUGUACCAUUUUCUUUCCUGUUCCCUUGAAUUUUCAUGUUCUUCUUUUAUUGACAACUC